rnacentral:rRNA from 1 species
UAGGGAAUCUUCCACAAUGGACGCAAGUCUGAUGGAGCAACGCCGCGUGAGUGAAGAAGGCUUUCGGGUCGUAAAACUCUGUUAUUGAAGAAGAACGUGCGUGACAGUAACUGGUCAUGCAGUGACGGUAUUCAAUCAGAAAGUCACGGCUAACUACGUGCCAGCAGCCGCGGUAAUACGUAGGUGGCAAGCGUUGUCCGGAUUUAUUGGGCGUAAAGCGAGUGCAGGCGGUCUUUUAAGUCUGAUGUGAAAGCCUUCGGCUUAACCGAAGAAGGGCAUCGGAAACUGGGAGACCUGAGUGCAGAAGAGGAGAGUGGAACUCCAUGUGUAGCGGUGAAAUGCGUAGAUAUAUGGAAGAACACCAGUGGCGAAGGCGGCUCUCUGGUCUGUAACUGACGCUGAGGCUCGAAAAGCGUGGGUAGCAAACAGGAUUAGAUACCCU